rnacentral:lncRNA from 1 species
UCCUCUUAUCUGAGAGGGCACUCCCAACGAAGCCUUUCGAAAUUUUCAGCUUUCUUUCCCCCCGAUAAUACCUCUGUAAACAAGCUAUACUAGAGCAAGAAUAUCUCAUAUCAUCAGGGUUAAAAGCAAGAGUAUCCCAUAUCAUGCUUUUUCCCUGUCUUUUCCUUUGGCCUUGUUCUCACCUGCAAGACAAGGAGAAAGAGAGCAAUCAGUCAGCACUUGGAAUCAAGCUUCCAGCCAGGAACUGACUGCCUGGAAUUACUUACCUGGCAUUGCUCUCGAGUACUCAUCUUCAACAUCUUAGGCUUCCAGGGAAGAUACCACAUCUGCCUGAGGAACAGCUAAGGCAAGUGAGAAGGAUACAAGGAAGCAUGUGGAGACAAGCGUAACAGCACACGUGCCGAUACAUCCACUACUCUGUCAAAAGCAAAAGUAUCCCAUAUCAGCAGGGUCGAACGUACUUUAGAUUUGAUGGACUUGUUUUGACCCUCAAAUUCUUCAGUCGGCCUUAUACUCUGGAGGAAACCAGAAAACCCU